AUUGUGGGGUAUCGUGAUGUCAUUACGGGGUAUUGUGAUGUCAUUGUGGGGUAUUGUGAUGUCAUUGUGGGGGGGGUUAAAAACGAAUUUAAUACAUUUUAAGAAUAGACCACGUUCAGUAACCAGACAGACAGACAGACAGACAGACAGACAGACAGACAGACAGACAGGAAGCCACCAGACCUCCAGAGCCACGUUCAGACAGACAGACAGACAGACAGACAGACAGACAGACAGACAGGAAGCCACCAGACCUCCAGGGCCACGUUCAGUAACCAGACAGACAGACCGUUUAGGAGUAAAUACUUUAUUAACAUUCUCCUUCAGCAACACCUCUACAGGAAAUAGAGACUCUGUUCCUGGUUCCCAUGGCUACGAGUGGUUAGUUAGUGAGACGGGCGGAGACAGACCCUCCUCUCUGCUCUGCUACAGUCUUUAAUGAGGUCCCUUUAACACAAGAGGUCCCCUGUGGUCCCGUGACCCAAACCACAGAAUACUGCUUAGCGUUAACUAUGGUGACAGGUUCUCUGAUCGUUUGGUAGAACCCGUCUCGUCUCCUCUGGGUCUCAACCUAAAAACAUUUCAAUUGUUGACUUGUGCCAAGGUCCUCCUCUGUUACCCAGAACACACUGCUUCACCCAGACAGCGUCCCAACAGUCUAAAGCAGCUCGUCUUCUCCUCCUUCUCAUCUGAAAGUGUCCUGGUCACCCUGAAAGCUAAUUCCCUCAUCAUAUAUACUCUUUAUACCCGCUUUCACUUGUCCUGUGUUUUUCCUGCGCAGACGAAGGAGGGGUGAGGAGGCGAGAGGAAGAGAAGGGAGGAAGCAUCUUCAGACUAUUGAGAUUCAGCCGGCCUGAAUUCCCUCCAUUAUUCAAACAAUUCAGUUAGCGCUCUUGACAGAUAGCAUUUAGCCAACUGUUAGCUCUAGACAAUUAGCUAACCGUUAGCUCUAGACAAUUAGCUAACCGUUAUCUCUAGACAAUUAGCUAGCUAACCGUUAGCUCUAGACAGACAGCUAGCUAACCGUUAGCUCUAGACAGACAGCUAGCUAACCGUUAGCUCUAGACAGACAGCUAGCUAACCGUUAGCUCUAGACAGAGUUAGCCAACCGUUAGCUCUAGACAGAGUUAGCCAACCGUUAGCUCUUGACAGAUAGCAUUUAGCUAACCGUUAGCUCUAGACAGAUAGCAGUUAGCUCUAGACGGACAGCUAGCUAACCGUUAGCUCUAGACAGACAGCUAGCUAACCGUUAGCUCUAGACAGACAGCUAGCUAACCGUUAGCUCUUGACAGAGUUAGCCAACCGUUAGCUCUUGACAGAUAGCAUUUAGCUAACCGUUAGCUCUAGACAGAUAGCAUUUAGCUAACCGUUAGCGCUAGACAGACAGCUAGCUAACCGUUAGCUCUAGACAGACAGCUAGCUAACCGUUAGCUCUAGACAGACAGCUAGCUAACCGUUAGCUCUAGACAGACAUUUAGCUAACCGUUAGCUCUAGACGGACAGCUAGCUAACCGUUAGCUCUAGACAGACAGCUAGCUAACCGUUAGCAUUUAGCUAACCGUUAGCUCUAGACAGACAGCUAGCUAACCGUUAGCUCUUGACAGAUAGCAUUUAGCUAACCGUUAGCUCUAGACAGAUAGCAUUUAGCUAACCGUUAGCUUAGCGC
rnacentral:lncRNA from 1 species